CGUGUUAAUAGCUCAGUCGGGUAAGCGCCCGCUUCUCACGCCAGAGAUGCGGGUUCGAGUCCCGGCGCUGACAUGU
rnacentral:tRNA from 1 species